CUGGGCGUAAGGGUGUGUAGGCGGAUAUUUAAGUAGAAAGUGAAAGGUUGGAGCUCAACUCCAACAUUGCUUCCUAUACUGGAUGUCUUGAGUUUCGGAGAGGAAGAUGGAACGACACGUGUAGCGGUGAAAUGCGUUGAUAUGUGUCGGAACACCAAUAGCGAAGGCAAUCUUCUGGACGAAUACUGACGCUGAGACACGAAAGCAUGGGUAGCGAACAGGAUUAGAUACCCUGGUAGUCCAUGCCCUAAACGAUGUUCACUAGGUGUCGGGGAUUUUUCUUCGGUGCCGCAGCUAACGCAUUAAGUGAACCGCCUGGGGACUACGGCCGCAAGGUUGAAACUCAAAGGAAUUGGCGGGGGCCCGCACAAGCGGUGGAGCAUGUGGCUUAAUUCGAUGCAACGCGAAGAACCUUACCAGGGUUUGACAUGUAACUGCAAGCUCCCGAAAUGGAGUCGCUUUCGAAGGUGUUACACAGGUGGUGCAUGGCUGUCGUCAGCUCGUGUUGUGAAAUGUUGGGUUAAGUCCCGCAACGAGCGCAACCCUCAUGUUCUGUUGCCAGCGAGUAAUGUCGGGAACUCGGAACAAACUGCCUCUGUAAAGAGGAGGAAGGUGGGGAUGACGUCAAG
rnacentral:rRNA from 1 species